rnacentral:rRNA from 1 species
CAUACCCACGGGAGGCAGCAGUGGGGAAUAUUGCACAAUGGGGGAAACCCUGAUGCAGCGACGCCGCGUGAGCGAAGAAGUAUUUCGGUAUGUAAAGCUCUAUCAGCAGGGAAGAAAAAUGACGGUACCUGAGUAAGAAGCACCGGCUAAACACGUGCCAGCAGCCGCGGUAAUACGUAUGGUGCAAGCGUUAUCCGGAUUUACUGGGUGUAGAGGGAGCGCAGGCGGUGCGGCAAGUCUGAUGUGAAAGCCCGGGGCCCAACCCCGGGACUGCAUUGGAAACUACCGAACUAGAGUGUCGGAGG